rnacentral:rRNA from 1 species
GAUGAACGCUGACGGCGUGCCUAAUACAUGCAAGUCGAGCGAACGGACGAGAAGCUUGCUUCUCUGAUGUUAGCGGCGGACGGGUGAGUAACACGUGGAUAACCUACCUAUAAGACUUGGAUAACUUCGGGAAACCGGAGCUAAUACCGGAUAAUAUUUUGAACCGCAUGGUUCAAAAGUGAAAGACGGUCUUGCUGUCACUUAUAGAUGGAUCCGCGCUGCAUUAGCUAGUUGGUAAGGUAACGGCUUACCAAGGCAACGAUGCGUAGCCGACCUGAGAGGGUGAUCGGCCACACUGGAACUGAGACACGGUCCAGACUCCUACGGGAGGCAGCAGUAGGGAAUCUUGCGCAAUGGGCGAAAGCCUGACGGAGCAACGCAGCGUGAGUGAUGAAGGUCUUCGGAUCGUAAAACUCUGUUAUUAGGGAAGAACAUAUGUGUAAGUAACUGUGCACAUCUUGACGGUACCUAAUCAGAAAGCCACGGCUAACUACGUG